rnacentral:sRNA from 1 species
UUUGGGGUCUCACGCCUUCCCCCCGCCCUAUUCCCCCAGUGAGCAGCGGUUCCAUUGCAGUGAACGCCGACUCUUCGGUGCAGUUGUUGGCCGAAGAGGCCGUGACGCUGGACAUGUUGGACCUGGGGGCAGCCAAGGCGAACUUGGAGAAGGCCCAGGCGGAGCUGGUGGGGACAGCGGACGAGGCCACGCGGGCAGAGAUCCAGAUCCGAAUCGAGGCCAACGAGGCCCUGGUGAAGGCCCUGGAGUAGGCGAGCCAGCCGCCAAGGUUGACCUCAGCUUCGGAGCCACCUCUGGAUGAACUGCCCUCAGCCCCCGCACCAUUAAAGACCCGGAAGCCUGA